rnacentral:rRNA from 1 species
UACGUAGGGGGCGAGCGUUGUCCGGAAUCAUUGGGCGUAAAGGGCGCGUAGGCGGAUGUUUAAGUCUGAUGUGAAAGGUUAGGGCUCAACCCUAAAACUGCAUCGGAAACUGGACAUCUUGAGGACAGGAGAGGAAAGUGGAAUUCCACGUGUAGCGGUGAAAUGCGUAGAUAUGUGGAGGAACACCAGUGGCGAAGGCGACUUUCUGGACUGUAACUGACGCUGAGGCGCGAAAGCGUGGGGAGCAAACAGG